CCUACGGGUGGCAGCAGUGAGGAAUAUUGGUCAAUGGACGAGAGUCUGAACCAGCCAAGUAGCGUGAAGGAUGACUGCCCUAUGGGUUGUAAACUUCUUUUAUAUGGGAAUAAAAUGUUCCACGUGUGGGCUUUUGUAUGUACCAUAUGAAUAAGGAUCGGCUAACUCCGUGCCAGCAGCCGCGGUCAUACGGAGGAUCCGAGCGUUAUCCGGAUUUAUUGGGUUUAAAGGGAGCGUAGGUGGAUGGUUAAGUCAGUUGUGAAAGUUUGCGGCUCAACCGUAAAAUUGCAGUUGAAACUGGCAGUCUUGAGUACAGUAGAGGUGGGCGGAAUUCGUGGUGUAGCGGUGAAAUGCUUAGAUAUCACGAAGAACUCCGAUUGCGAAGGCAGCUCACUGGACUGCAACUGACACUGAGGCUCGAAAGUGUGGGUAUCAAACAGGAUUAGAUACCCGAGUAGUC
rnacentral:rRNA from 1 species